GUACAUUUUCGUGACGUCUCGAAAAGCGUUUGCAUGUGUGCACACGACGCGUUGCAGCUGCGGCAAGCCACGGAACACGUAGAGGCAAGGUCAGCGAGCACAGAAAAACAAAGGCUACGGCGGUAGCGAUCGCACGCGCGGAAACACGUCACGGUCCCCUGUUCCCCCAUCCCCCCAUCUCCCCCCCCCCCACACACACACUCCUGCCCGCCAUCUGUGCGGCAUAUACACAGAGGAAGCGAGCAAUCGCGCGCUGCGCGUCCGGCUUGUCGUGGAACGUCACGAGACAAGCGCACACACCACCACUACCGCUCGUCUCCUCACAUAUACGAGCACCACUCUUGAGCUCCCUCUUGAUCACCAGUCCACCACCGGUGCGGCAGUCCCGCUCAUACGACGUUUGGAGGGUGAACAACCUAGAUCUUAGACGUCGGCACCGCGUGAGGUUUGUCCUCCAGAUACCCAAUGUCGUACAGCGCGUAUCAAGUGGCGGGCCCUGCCGACCCGUUCCGUCCCACGCUGGAGAUGUGCUUCCGCGGGCAUCGUCAAGGUGUGUGCAGUGUCGGCUUCCAACCGGCGCUGUCGCCGUCUCCGCUCAUUCCCAAGGUCGUGUCCGGCGGUGCCGACGGCGCGGUCAUGUUGUGGGACGCAAAGGCCACCACCCGCACAAUGCGAUUCAUGGGGCAUCGCGGACCGGUGCUUGCUGUUGCCUGCAGCCCGCGCGCAAAUCUGCUGGCGAGCGGCGGCCAUGAUGGAUACGUGCGGCUCUGGAUCCCCAACACGCGACGGACAACGGCGACGUACGGCCUCCACGCCGAGUCGGCCGACGACCGCAACUCAUGCGGCUGGCGCGGUCACACCGGCGCUACCCGCGCCGUCGUCUUUGCCCAAGACGGCUCUGACUACCUCUACACCGCGGGCAAUGACAAGGCGGUGAAGUGCUGGGACCUCAAUUACGCCUCGAGCAGCCAGCACAUCGGCGUCGGCCCGGGCAACAAAUUCGUUGGCAGUUUCGCGGCACAAUCGUCAACGGGGCAGCACGGCACUGGGCACAUGAACUGGGUGCGCACGGUGGCUGUGCAGAGCGCCUACACAUCCUCUAGCUUCUUUCACUACAUCGCCAGCGGUGGUGACGAUCACGCCAUUUGCGUGUGGGACACGCGCACUCGCGCCCCAGUGCACGCUCUGUUUGACUGCAGCGCCAGCGUGCAUUCCCUGAGCUUUCACCCCGACGGCUACGUGUUGGCGAGCGGCGAUGCCAGCGGCGCCGUGAAUCUCUUUGACCUACGGCACACCUCAUCCUCGUCAUCCGCCGCCAACAGCUGGGGCGGUGCACCAGCGCAGCGGCGCUUCUCCAGCCUCCUUCAGCACUACAGAGGCGCGCACGCGGGCGGGGUGCAGUGCGUCGACUUUGCCCCCAACGGCGGCUGGCUCUUCUCGGCCGGCAACGACAGCACUGCGAAGCUGUGGGAUGUGAAGCAGGUGUACCUCUACUGCACCCUCCAAGGGCAUGAGGGGGGGCCCGUCAAGUCGUGCCACUUCUCGGAAGAUGGUCGCUGGCUUGCCACAGGCGGCGGUACUGACAAAACGGUCCUCGUAUGGCGCAGCGGCUUGGCUGAGAGAGCGGCAACGCGCGACUCGACUGCGGAGACCGCACUCACUACUGUUGGGAACAAGGACGCGGCACUGCCCGAGGUGAUUCCUCCACCCAAGGUGUCCUUCGGUGCAGAAGCCCCUGCAGUGCGGUUCUCCUCGCCGAUGGCGCCAGCCUCUCGCGACGUGGCCCGACGAUGCAAGCUGCGAGACGACUCGUUCCGUGUGCAGAAUGGUGUGGAACGCUCUCCAAGGACGUCGGCAUCUCAGGCGGUGAGCAGCGGUAUCACCAACGGUUGCAGAGGCGGCGGCAGCGACCCCCACGUGGGCAGCAGGGCCGCCGCUGGUGCGGCGAACGUCAGUGUCGGUGUCGCAGCUGCCGCAUCGCUGGGCCGCCCGCCUCUCUCUUCCCCAACGAGGAAGGAGCAGGCUGGCACGCCCUCCGCGUCCUCCUCGCGCGGUGUGGCGUACGCUGCCGAUGCGAAGGCGUGGAACCGCGACGAUGCGGAAAAAAGCUCCGUCGCCGCUCAUGAGCGCAGCUUUGAGAGAAGCGAGGAGCGACUCGACUACCUCGUCGCGUCGGUCGCCGGCAGCCCCGGUGAAGUGGGCAACGGCCACUCACGGCAGCAGCCAGUCGUUGAGGGCGAUACAACACGCGGCGGCGCGAACACCCUGCAUGAACAGGAAUCGCCGCUGGGCAGCGUAGAUAGCAGUGCUCGAAGCGCCGUUGUUGCGGCAGAAGAGCGAGAGCAGGAGGCGUUGGUGGCGCAGGAGCGCGCCUAUCAGCGGCUGCAGGAGGACCGCAUCACCCAACAGCGUCUCGCGAAUCUGGAAGAGGCGCUGGCGUCUCUGGCGGCGUACAUGCAAACCCAGUAUCUGCAGCAGGCAAAGGAGAUGCACGAGACGCGGGUGAAAAGUAGGGUGCAGGCCGACAAGUACGAUGCCGACCUAGAAGACCUGAAGCGCUUGAUGGCGCGGCUCGCUGCCCCUGCUGCCGACCAGGCUUCUGCGAAUGGCACAGCCUGAAUAUGUCAACGAAAGAGGGUGGGGCACAGGGGUGCAGGGGUGCGACUGCUCCCCUUCAACACCAUCGUGGGCAGCCGAUGUAGCUGCUUGCAUUUUUUUUGGCUUCGACAUCGGUAGCCGCUUGCCUUCGCUACGACGACGGCGACGCUUUUAUGCAUUUUAGGAGCUCGGCCUCUUCCAGAGCAGAGCUCAGUGUGCAAGGGCUCUUAGAUCAAGCACUCGAUCGUGCGUACGCGGCCUUGCGCAAGUGGGUCGCACGCCUUUGUGUUCCGCCCUCCCUCUUCCCUUUUCCCCUUACCCUUCGUCAUCCUCGACUCGGUGGGUUUGGCGUGGGCUCACAUGCGAACCCAUACGUUCUUUUUCCUCGGCUCGCGCUGCCUCCUCAGUGCGCUACUCGCGGCUCUCUGGCACCCCUGGUGCCAUUUUGUCAUGACCGUUUCAGCAGAAG
rnacentral:misc_RNA from 1 species